UUGUUUUUUUUUGUCUUGUAGUAACAUCUGAACCUAUUUCUUGAUCUCUACUCGGAUUCCUUAUUUGGUGCAAAAGACCUGGCACAAAACCUCUGAUCAUGUUUGAAUUCCAUUAUCAGAUUUUUUUUGGUUGGGUUUAGUUUAAUUACUUCUUGUGCUGUAUUGUUGUGUGCAUUUCUGGCAAUUUCUGCCACCCAGGAUGAAACUGGAGUUUACAAGAAUCUGCUUCAAGAGACUGCUCACAGAG
rnacentral:misc_RNA from 1 species